AGAGUUUGAUCCUGGCUCAGGAUGAACGCUGGCGGCGUGCCUAAUACAUGCAAGUCGAACGAGGUCUCCUAACUGAUAGCUGGUGCUUGCAUCAGCUUGACGAUAGAUCUGACCGAGUGGCGAACUGGUGAGUAACACGUGGGUAACCUGCCCAGAAGAAGGGGAUAACACCUGGAAACAGAUGCUAAUACCGUAUAACAACGAGAACCACAUGGUUCUCGUUUGAAAGAUGGCUUUUAUGCUAUCGCUUCUGGAUGGACCCGCGGCGUAUUAGCUAGUUGGUGAGAUAAUAGCUCACCAAGGCAAUGAUACGUAGCAGACCUGAGAGGGUAAUCUGCCACAAUGGGACUGAGACACGGCCCAUACUCCUACGGGAGGCAGCAGUAGGGAAUCUUCCACAAUGGACGAAAGUCUGAUGGAGCAACGCCGCGUGAGUGAAGAAGGGUUUCGGCUCGUAAAACUCUGUUGUUAGAGAAGAACGACCGUGAGAGCAACUGCUCACGGUGUGACGGUAUCUAACCAGAAAGUCACGGCUAACUACGUGCCAGCAGCCGCGGUAAUACGUAGGUGGCAAACGUUGUCCGGAUUUAUUGGGCGUAAAGCGAGCGCAGGCGGUUUUCUAAGUCUGAUGUGAAAGCCUUCGGCUUAACCGGAGAAGUGCAUCGGAAACUGGAUAACUUGAGUGCAGAAAAGGACAGUGGAACUUCAUGUGUAGCGGUG
rnacentral:rRNA from 2 species